GUACAUUAUAUGGUUGAAUUGUAUUUUAAUUUACAAACACAGCUAAUGUAGUCCAUGAGGUUGUUGAGAGAAACAGUUCUUUCGAACUCAGAAUACAUGAAUUGAUGCCAAACGUAACAUGACAUGUCAAAAAGUGUUUCAAAAUAAUCUCUUUGUGUUCCUGAUGGUUCAGGAUACUUUAAAAUUUUGCAUGCUUCAACGAUUGCCUGCUAUAUCUGAUCACUACAUGAUUCCGCAUUGCCAGAGCCUGUUCUGCAUAAUUCAUCCAGCGCUCUUCUUCAUCUAAAACUUCAAUUCGCUGUCCAAACCUGGACCAUUGAUUAUGACCAUACAUUUCAUCUUGAUUUAUACCUGUCUCCUCUUCCAGUUUCUGAAUUUAACGGUAUACCAUCUCCGUAAACACGAAAUCACUAAGUUUUUCAGGAGUGAACAACUCAUAGUCAAUUUCAUCCACAUACAUUUGUCUAAAUAGGUGUG